rnacentral:rRNA from 1 species
AUUGAACGCUGGCGGCAGGCCUAACACAUGCAAGUCGAGCGGAGCGGCGGAAGGGUGCGGAUUGACUAGGAAUCUGCCAGGUCGUGGGGGAUCAAGUCCAGGACCGGGAGCUAAUACCACAGCCUAUAAGCUGCGCAUAGGUCGGAUUGGCUAGUUGGAGGGGUAAAGGCCUACCAAGGCGACGAUCCGUAACCGGUCGGAGAGUAUGAUCAGUCAAACUGGAACUGAGACACGGUCCAGACUCCUACGGGAGGCAGCAGUGGUGAAUAUUGGACAAUGGGCGAAAGCCUGAUCCAGCCAUGCCGCGUGUGUGAAGAAGGUCUUCGGAUUGUAAAGCACUUUCAGUGGGGAGGCGUUACCAACAGAAUAAGCACCGGCUAACUUCGUGCCAGCAGCCGCGGUAAUUC